AUUGAACGCUGGCGGCGUGCUUAACACAUGCAAGUCGAUCGGUAACAGGUGUAGCAAUACAUGCUGACGAGAGGCGGACGGGUGAGUAAUGCUUGGGAAUCUGCCUAUUAGUGGGGGACAACCCGGGGAAACUCGGGCUAAUACCGCAUACGCUCUACGGAGGAAAGCCGGGGACCGCAAGGCCUGGCGCUAAUAGAUGAGCCCAAGUCGGAUUAGCUAGUUGGAGGGUAACGGCCUACCAAGGCGACAAUCCGUAGCUGGUCUGAGAGGACGACCAGCCACACCGGAACUGAGACACGGUCCGGACUCCUACGGGAGGCAGCAGUGGGGAAUAUUGGACAAUGGGGGGCAACCCCUGAUCCAGCGACGCCGCGUGGGUGAAGAAGGCCUGCGGGUUGUAAAGCCCUUUCGGUGGGGAAGAAAGUCUCGACCUAAUACGUCGGGACCUUGACGUAACCCACUAAA
rnacentral:rRNA from 1 species